GAUAUUCUAUAACUAGCGGCAGAUCUCAGUAACAACACCAGGAUAACCUGAAGCUGCAAAAUGCUCUUGUACGUGGCUGUACAGCUCUGGAUUCUGCUUCCACAGUCAGGUCUUGCACAAAGUGACUCCGUGGACCAGUCUCCUCCAGAAGUGAGAGUCUCAGCGGGGCAAAGUGUAACUUUACACUGUAACUUCACCACCGCUGACCCAAGCCCGUAUCUGUUUUGGUACCAGCAGUAUCCGAACCAGCCUCCCCAGCAUAUACUGACUAAAGCGAAAUUUGGUGCUCCGGAUCAGACGCUUGUCCAGGGAAAAUUCUCAGCAUCUUUGUACAUGGCUAAUAGGACGGUUCCCUUCCAGAUUGAGGCUGUUUCUCACCAGGAGAGCGCUGUGUAUUACUGUGCUCUGAGACCCACAGUGGGGGAGAACUGCAUCUCCGCUCGUACAGUAAGUGAGCGGAGGGUUGUUUACCGCACUAUGAUAGAAUCGUAUAAACAGGGGUACAUCCUGCGGAGAGGAGCAAAAGGAAGCACGUUCAGUGAUACCGCAGGUUUCGCCCAGGAGAGGUUUUCUUCGCAGUCUGCUGACAGCUCUACCGUUCUGAGCAUCACAGCCCUGGAGCUGGCGGACACCGCGGUGUAUUACUGCGCCCUGCAGCGGGCACAGUGA